UAACUGAAGAGUUUGAUCAUGGCUCAGAUUGAACGCUGGCGGCAGGCUUAACACAUGCAAGUCGAGCGGGGGAAGGUAGCUUGCUACCGGACCUAGCGGCGGACGGGUGA
rnacentral:rRNA from 1 species